rnacentral:hammerhead_ribozyme from 1 species
AUCCAACUGACGAGUUUGACAUAGAACGAAACUUGCUUCCUGGAU